rnacentral:lncRNA from 1 species
GGGGCAAACAUUUUAAAAUUAAUGGAUCUAUUUUUGGACCUUGUAAAAGAUAUUGCUGGUAUAAAACGUUGAUAUAAGUUUCAUAAAAUUCUUACAUGACUGAGCUAAUAAAGCUAUUUUCUAUAUAAUGAAUAUUUCCAGGGGUGACUCAAAUAAUGGACAACUAAUCUUUGAACUUAUCCAAGACAAUGGUGAUAUAAAC